rnacentral:snRNA from 1 species
AUGCUCUCUUUGGCAGCACAUAUACUGAAAUUGGAACAAUACAGAGAAGACGAGUAUGGCCCCACACAAGGAUGACACGCAAAUUCAUGAAGUGUUAUUCCUCAAA